rnacentral:lncRNA from 1 species
CUGUGCUGAGGUAUCAUACAUGUGCUGCCUUGCCUGUGCUGAGGUUACAAGCAGGUGCUACACUCCCAUCUUUUCCUGUGGUGAAGGGGAUUAACUCAAGUCCUACCACAAACACCUCACCAGCUGAGGUCUUCUCAGCCCCUAAAACCUUCUUUAAUUGGAUAAAUAGGUUCCAUUUCUGAUCAAACUGGAGGAAGCCCACUACGCCCUGUGUCUCACUCUUAUUGUUAAAACAUCUGACAAAAUAUACCAGCAAUGAAGUAAAUGGCAGCAGUGGACUGGACGGGGAACCCCAAAGUUGAAGAGAGAUCAGUGCAGGGUAGUGAGCUUCCUCUUGGUUUUGUCGUUUUGUCUUUUUCCUUUCUCUCUGAUACCUUUUUCCUUUUUCUCUUGAUCUGAAGCCUGGCUGAAAUGAGAGCUAACAAUCAGAAAUGAUCAGGAAACAACUCCAACCACAGUGAGCAAGAUAAAGCGAGGUGACCCCUGUGAAACGUCAUUGGAGCCCUCCAAAGGGUCCACAACCCACAGGUUGAGGACCACUGUUCUAGAGGAAGCAACUGGAAAGAAGGACUCUUGGGAACAUGAGAGCAUGGAGCCUUGCAAAGGGGGUUGUUACAUAGCAAAGAAUAACUAAGACAUGCCUGUCCUAGCCUGCUUCUUUGGUUGCUCCAAUAAAAUUUAGACCAGAACUAACGUGGGAAGGAAAGGGCUUAUUUGACUUAUAGUCCAUCAUUAAGGUAAGCCAGGUCAAGAGCUCAAGGCAGGGUCCUGGAGACAGAACUUGAAGCAAAGACUACAGAAGAAUACUGCUGCUUACUGCCUGCUCUUUUAAACAGCCAGGUUCCACCCUCUUAGGAUGGUACCACCCAUAGUGUGCUGGGCCCUCCCACAUCAUCAAGAGAAUGCUCCUCCCUACCCCCCCUCCCCCCCAACACACAAGCUCAAAGGCCAGUCUGAUGGAGGCUGUUCCUUAAUGUGAUUUCCUCUCAGGCA